rnacentral:rRNA from 1 species
UACACAGGGAGGUAGUGACAAGAAAUAACAAUACGGGGCUUAAAGUCUUGUAAUUGGAAUGAUGGGAAUUUAAACCUCUUCCAGAGUAUCAAUUGGAGGGCAAGUCUGGUGCCAGCAGCCGCGGUAAUUCCAGCUCCAAUAGCGUAUAUUAAAAUUGUUGCAGUUAAAAAGCUCGUAGUUGAAUUUCUGCUGCAUUGCUUGUGUCCCUCUGGGGUCUGUGCAUGUGGCUUUUUUCGGACGGAGUUUCUUUGUCUGAAUGUUUACUUUGAGAAAAUUAGAGUGCUCAAAGCAGGCUUUCGCCUUGAAUAGUUUAGCAUGGAAUAAUAAAGUAGGACUUUGGUUCUAUUUUGUUGGUUUUAGGUACCAAAGUNAUG